GUAACUCAUACAAAAACAAAUUAAACAAUUUCAUUUCUCAUUAAUAACAAUUUUGCUUUAAUCAUUUUAGGGUUUAGGGUUAUUUUAGGGUUUGAUACUAGUCAAAUAAUUCCAGGACGCUGCUCUGUCUCCCACCUGUUCUUCAUUCUGCUAAUCAGCCCAGCUGUUUGUCUGAUAAAUCACCACUUCCAGUAUAACCAGAGUUUAGUUCUUUCUCAGUUGCUACAUCCAUGUGGUUUCUUGCUCGGCAGUCCUGGUUUUAUGUUUGGUUCUGCCUGCCAGCUUGUUUUUUUAAUUUUAUUUUUUGGGUAAAGUUAUUAAAUCCUUGAAAUAUACCUUCCUGCUUGCUGCUUGGCUGCUGUCUGCAUAUUUGGAUCCUCCUCACCUCCAAACAUGACAGGUAUUGCCUACAGUGACCGAGCUGUCAGCUCUAAAAACAAUCAGAACAAACCAAAGAGAAACUCACCAUGAAGCUUCCUGAUUACCGAAUGCAGAUAGAAGAGGCCCAGAGAACCUCAUAAGGUGUUCUGAAGAAAAACGUUUCCAGUGUGCAUUGAGGUGUCGUGUGCGAUGAAGCUGCACGUUUCCAUGCUGUGUGUCACUCCAGGCUUGCCGUAGAUUUACAUCCAGUUGGCGACGGUCAGUGCUAAUGUUAGCUCCCGACAACAAGUUGUCUGUGGCAAAACAAAAGAAACAAAGGAAUGACUAACAUUACAGCUGAUUCUCAGCUGAACUUAAAGAUAACAGAGGCCUGGACAACUUUUGUUUGCAAAGUUUUGUGCUCGGACGCGGUGGAGGGAAACGAAGCUUCGAACGGCUGGUUCCGGUGGUCGGACCAAAACUACGUUAUUUAAACAUCUGACUGAAACUGUUCCCCUCCUUUAUAAAUGUGUGAAAGAUGACAGUCUAACAAAAUCGUUGUUUUGUUAUCAAUGUUAUUUAUAAAUUUUAGAAACAUCUUAAUGUAAUUCACAGUGGUGAAAUGUUUUAG